UUAGUAUUUUUUUGUUAAUUAAGGGGGAUAGCUACUGUGAGGAUCGAAAAAAUAGGUGAUUUUCGGGGAUUUUUUUGACUGGGAUAAUAAAGGAAUUUGGGGAUCGGGUUUUUUUUUUGUUUCAUAAAGUAUACAUUGAAGAUAAUUCUCCUAAAUUUUGAUUAAAAAAUAUUAUUUUGUUACAAAGUUAUAAGCAUUUUUGUGGAGCACCAAAAAAAUUUCCCCCACCACGGUGGGAUCUCUAACUAAAAAAUCGAUUAUCUAAAA